AAGCUCAUUCCCCAACUGAGGAAUGUUUUUGGCUCUUCUUUAUUUGGGUUUCUGUCUUGCUGGGCAGUUCUAGGUGGUUAUGUCUGACAAGCUAGAGAGCAUAUUUCUAGCCCUGACCUGCCUACUCCCUGGUAUCUUCAGCGAAGAAUCCAUUGAGUGGCUAGGAUCUAAGUCUAGAAAUGGCAUGAGAACAUUUGAUUACAUUACCUAUGAGGGCGUCCAGACACACAGUUUAAAUAUGGCUCUUUAACCUGUUGGUUGUUUUGGGCCGAAAGUUCUUGGAAGGACUGGACAGCCAGGACUGGAGUGAUUGCUGUCUGCUCUGCUUGAGUUUGGGUGUCUCCAGACCCUCUGGGAGUUUAUCAGCCCUGGAAGGAGAGAAGAGAAGGCGACACUAGAGAAUGGGCCCCCUUCAAAAUGCAGGUGUUGCCAGUUUGGUGAAAUUAAGAGUUAGCUCCAUUCAGAGAGGAGUAAGUAGAAAGAGAUUUUUCUCUCAAAAAAAAAAGGAUUUUGUGUCUUUAUAAAAUGGGCCUCAGAGAGCUCUCUCCUUCCAUCUCUUCUGCCACGUGAUGACAUCAGUCCCCCUUAUCCUUCUGCCACGUAAAAACACAACCAUGAAAUGCUGUCUUGGAAGCACCGAAUGAGAUUUCAACAGACACCAAGUCUGCCAGCAUCUUAGACUUUCCAGUCUCUAGGAUGAGUCUGCACGUAAAGCUAACACCCGGACCUGCUAAUUCAGGCUCCACGUGCGUGAUUAAUAAUGCAGAAGAAGAAAGCUUGAGAGUUACUGUGCUGCGUGGGUUCUGGGAGGCAGCAAUCAUUGCCCGUCACUGACGAUGUGGGCUAACAAGUUCCAGAAAUGGUCCAAACAGACUUCAACAAUUCUGUGCUAAAAUUAUGGUCUUGUGAGGAGGAUUCAAGCUCAUCUGUACUCUACCACCACCUCUGCCUCCUGUAGAUCAAACAGCCAGAGAUUCCUGUUUCUUCAAGAGGCCUGCAACCACCCCCACCCUUGAAGGCCAAUGAUAAGUAGUUGUGGAAAAUGGAUUUCUGACUAUCCAGCCUCCUAAGAUUAAGAAAUGGACGUCUGAGGGAGAAGAUGAGGGCAGUAGAUGCUAUGGCUGUACUGGCUGGUUCUGUGUGUCAACUUGACUUACUUUAAGAGUCAUCGGAGAGGAAGGAGCCUCAGUUGAGAAAAUGCCUCCAUGAGAUCCAGCUGUAAGACAUUUUCUCAAUUAGUGAUUGAGGUGGGAGAACACAAGCUGAGCAAGCCAUGCGAAGCAAGCCAGUUAGCAGCAGCUCUCCAUCACCUCUGCAUCGGCUCCUGCCUCCAGGUUCCUGCCCUGCAUGAGUUCCUGUCUUGAAUUCCUCCAAAGAUGAACUGUGAUCUGAAAGUGCAAGCCAAAUAAACUCUUUCCUCCCCAA